GACGAACGCUGGCGGCGUGCUUAACACAUGCAAGUCGAACGGAAAGGCCCCUUUGGGGGUACUCGAGUGGCGAACGGGUGAGUAACACGUGAGUAACCUGCCCUUGACUUCGGGAUAACUUCAGGAAACUGGGGCUAAUACCGGAUAGGAAUCCUUGCUGCAUGGUGGGGGUUGGAAAGCUUCGGCGGUUUUGGUUGGACUCGCGGCUUAUCAGCUUGUUGGUGGGGUAGUGGUUUCCCAAGGCUUUGACGGGUAGCCGGCCUGGGAGGGCGACCGGCCACAUUGGGACUGGGAUACGGCCCAGACUCCUACGGGAGGCAGCAGUGGGGAAUAGUGAACAAUGGGAGGGAGCCUGAUGCAGAAACGGCGCGGGCGGGAUGACGGCCUUCGGGUUGGAAACCGCAUUCAGCAGGGGCGGAGCUUGUGGUGACGGUACCUGCAGAAGAAGCACCGGCUAACUACGUG
rnacentral:rRNA from 1 species